rnacentral:ncRNA from 1 species
CGGUCGUCCGACCUGGGUAUAGGGGCGAAAGACUAAUGGAACCACCUAGAAGCUGGUUCCCUCCGCAGUUUCCCUCAGGAUAGCUGGCACUCUCGCAGACACACAAAAGACGCAGUUUUAUCCAUCCUGUAAAGCGAAUGAUUAGAGGUCUUGUGGCUGAAAAGAUCGCAGCCUAUUCUCAAACUUUCGAUGGGUAAGAAGCCCGGCUCGCUGGCGUGGGGCGGGGCGUGGAAUGCGAGUGCCUAGCGGACCACUUUUGGUAAGCAGAACUGGCGCUGCGGGAUGAA